CGGGCCGGCACGGGCACGAUAGCCGGGCCGUGCUUGGGCCUCAAUCCUGGCCCAUGGACACGUCCAAGCACGGCCCGAAAAAGACGGCCCGAUCGGCCCGAUCGGCCUGAUGGGCGGCACGGCGGCCCAGGCACGGCCCACGGCCCGCUCGCCAGGCCAGGCCAGCAAAAGAGCCGUUGGAGGCGCUGGCGCGCUGCCGGCCCAGCCCAGCGGAGCGGCCGAGCGGGUAUGUAAAGGGGCGCCGGCCUCCAUUCGCUCGCCCCGCCUGCCCCGACCCCUCUCGGCCUCUCCGCUCCCCUCGCGGCCUCGCCUAACCCUAACCCUAGAUCGAGCCUCUCCGCUCCCCUCCCAUCUCCGUCUCGAUCUGACCGUCUUCUCCAACUCCGGUCGCCGGCUCGCCGCCGUUGGCCAUCCACUCUACCCUCUUCUCUUUGUUUUCCUGCCUACUUUUGCAUCUUCACCGGUCGACUCGCUUUCUCAACUCAAAUCCGUCCCCAAACCCGGUCCUCCCUCUAUAAAUCUCGUAGAUCCGACCGUCCUCGAUCUCGCCGGCAUCCUUGGUGCUCCGGAUCUGUUGCUCGGCCGAUGCAAAGCCGUUGGGGUACCUGAGGGGGCUGGAUCUGGGGUCUUUGGACCCUAACCGGCAGCUCGGUUCCCUCGGUUUUGCCGGCCGACGCGAAGCCGUGAAGCGCCGAAGGCCUGGCAUGCGGCCUGCCCUCCAGGCCAUGGACGACGACGAGGGCCACACCAUCAACGAUGAGUUGCGGAUGAUGGGCCUGGAGGGGGACGACGAGGACGGUAUGGAGGAGCUUUUUGGUCGGCGUGGUAAUGUGGAAGUAAUCAUGCCCCCUCCCCCUCCCGUUGGUGUUGGUGGUGCCGGUGCGGGAGGAGGAAUACUUGCAUCAGAGAUGUGCAUGCCAUAUAAUUAAUUUGAUUAUUAAGUCUGGCUUGAAAAGGCUUAAACCUUACUUGGAAGCAUUUAGGACUGCUAUUUCAUUUGUGAACUCUUCUAACCAGCGCAUUGCUGCUUAUAAGUCCUACUGUAUUGCUGUGGGUGUGAGGCCAAGGAAAUUUCAAUUAGACAUGGAUGUGAGGUGGAACUCCACCUAUCUCAUGCUUAAGCAUCUUGUUCCUCACAAGCAAACAUUUGGUGUGUUCAUCCAAACCCAGUACCCCAGAGCAGAAGGUACUCCUUGUCUCUUAACUGAUGGACAUUGGUAUGUUGCUAAAAAAAUUCUAGAGUUCCUUGAACUAUUUUAUGAUUCUACUGUUGUCUUAUCUGGUGUUUACUAUCCCACUGCUCCACUUAUAUUGCAUAAUCUCAUUGAAAUUGCUGGACAACUUAAAAAUUAUGAAAAUGACAGAAUGCUUAGAGAGGUGGUAAUUGCUAUGAAAUCUAAAUACCUUAAGUACUGGAAUGACAUACCUCUGCUUUAUUCCAUUGCAUUCAUCAUGGAUCCUAGAGCUAAAAUAAAAGGUUUUAGCAAUGCUCUCAGGCUGCUCUCUAGUUUAACUGGUACUGACUAUUCUACUUAUUUUACCUCUAGGAGAGCUGCUCUGUCUGACAUGUUUGGCAAGUAUGAAAGCAAGUUUGGUUCUAUUAGAUUGGCAAGGCCUACACAUAAACCUUCUACUGGUAAAAAAAAAAGCUCAAUGGGGUACUGGUGGCUCUUUUACUGUUCCUCUUGGUAGAAGGACAUCUGCAAGUGCUUUGCUGUAAGCAGCAAGCACUGGUGGUACAUAUGGUAUUUCUUCUGAACUUACUGCCUACCUAGAUAGUGACACUGUCAACCAGUUUGAUGAUGAUUUCAACAUCUUAACCUGGUGGCAUGAGCACAAACAGUCUUAUCCAGUACUUUCUAUCUUAGCUAAGGAUGUUUUAACUGUGCCUGUUUCUACCAUCUCUUCAGAAUCUACCUUUAGUCUAACUGGCAGGAUCAUAGAGGAGAGGAGGCGUCAGUUGAAGCCAGAGAUGGUAGAAAUGCUCACAUGCAUCAAAGAUUGGGAGGCUGCAGAUGAAAGAGCUCAGCACAUGGUGGAGGAUGGAGACCUGCAGGCAGUUUAUGAAGAUCAGUACCUUGAUGAAACUCCAGCACAAGCUGCUGUGUAAUAGGAUAGUUUAUUUGCACUGUAUGACUAUGAGGUUAACACUGGAACUUGAACUUAAUGAGCAGGGUUGUACUCUUUUUUCCUAUCUAGGGUUUUCUCACGAGGUGUGAGUUUUUACCUAGAUAGGUUUUUAUUGAGGCAGCCAUUGCACAAAACAGCUCAUCUUUGACAUUUU